AAUGGUUGUCGGUGGGUGAAUUUUGUGCUUAGUAGUAUAGUUGACGGCGAAAAGUACCGAUUUGGGAAUAAAUUCUUCAGAGGAGUAUGGCGGUGCCAAGCGAUGACUAUGGAGGAUGGGUGGCGGAGCAUUGGCUAAGUAAGGAUUUCACGGUGUGGAGAGUUAAUUGGGUGGUGAGAGAGUAAUUUUCUUCUUGUUUU
rnacentral:lncRNA from 1 species